rnacentral:rRNA from 1 species
UAGUCCACGCCGUAAACGAUGUCAACUAGCCGUUGGGGGGCUUGACCCUUUAGUGGCGCAGCUAACGCAAUAAGUUGACCGCCUGGGGAGUACGGCCGCAAGGUUAAAACUCAAAUGAAUUGACGGGGGCUCGCACAAGCGGUGGAGCAUGUGGUUUAAUUCGAUGCAACGCGAAGAACCUUACCAGGUCUUGACAUCCUGAAAACUUUCUAGAGAUAGAUUGGUGCCUUCGGGAAUUCAGUGACAGGUGCUGCAUGGCUGUCGUCAGCUCGUGUCGUGAGAUGUUGGGUUAAGUCCCGUAACGAGCGCAACCCUUGUCCUUAGUUACCAGCGCGUUAUGGCGGGGACUCUAGGGAGACUGCCGGUGACAAACCGGNGGAAGGUGGGGACGACGUCAAGUCAUCAUGGCCCUUACGACCUGGGCUACGACACGUGCUACAAUGGACAGUACAAAGGGUCGCGAAAGCGACGAGCCGGAGCGUAAAGUCCCAUAAAGACGACCGCUACCGACUUCCGGAAUUGACUAGG